rnacentral:rRNA from 1 species
AUUGAACGCUGGCGGCAUGCUUUACACAUGCAAGUCGAACGGCAGCGCGGGCUUCGGCCUGGCGGCGCGUGGCGAACGGGUGAGUAAUGCAUCGGAACGUGCCCAGUAGUGGGGGAUAGCCCGGCGAAAGCCGGAUUAAUACCGCAUACGACCUGAGGGUGAAAGCGGGGGACCGAAAGGCCUCGCGCUCUUGGAGCGGCCGAUGUGGGAUUAGCUAGCUGGUGGGGUAAAGGCUUACCAAGGCGACGAUCCGUAGCUGGUCUGAGAGGACGACCGGCCACACUGGAACUGAGACACGGCCCAGACUCCUACGGGAGGCAGCAGUGGGGAAUUUUGGACAAUGGGGGCAACCCUGAUCCAGCCAUGCCGCGUGCGGGAAGAAGGCCUUCGGGUUGUAAAACGCUUUUGUUCGGGAAGAAAUCCUCUGGGCUAAUACCCCGGGGGGAUGACGGUACCGGAAGAAUAAGCACCGGCUAACUACGUG